rnacentral:rRNA from 1 species
CCUACGGGAGGCAGCAGUAGGGAAUCUUCCACAAUGGACGAAAGUCUGAUGGAGCAACGCCGCGUGAGUGAUGAAGGUUUUCGGAUCGUAAAACUCUGUUGUAAGGGAAGAACAAGUACGAGAGGGAAUGCUCGUACCUUGACGGUACCUUGCGAGAAAGCCACGGCUAACUACGUGCCAGCAGCCGCGGUAAUACGUAGGUGGCAAGCGUUGUCCGGAAUUAUUGGGCGUAAAGCGCGCGCAGGCGGCCUUUUAAGUCUGAUGUGAAAGCCCCCGGCUCAACCGGGGAGGGUCAUUGGAAACUGGAAGGCUUGAGUACAGAAGAGAAGAGUGGAAUUCCAUGUGUAGCGGUGAAAUGCGUAGAGAUGUGGAGGAACACCAGUGGCGAAGGCGACUCUUGGUCUGUAACUGACGCUGAGGCGCGAAAGCGUGGGGAGCAAACAGGAUUAGAUACCCUGGUAGUCCACGCCGUAAACGAUGAGUGCUAGGUGUUGGGGGGUUUCCGCCCGUCAGUGCUGAAGCUAACGCAUUAAGCACUCCGCCUGGGGGAGGACGGCCGCGAGCGUUGAACGUACAAUUAGAAGUUAGACGGCGUGAGACGNGCCGACGGACGACGACGAGGGAGGAGG